rnacentral:rRNA from 1 species
AUUGAACGCUGGCGGCAGGCCUAACACAUGCAAGUCGAGCGGAGGAAGGGAGCUUGCUCCUGGAUUCAGCGGCGGACGGGUGAGUAAUGCCUAGGAAUCUGCCUGGUAGUGGGGGAUAACGUCCGGAAACGGGCGCUAAUACCGCAUACGUCCUGAGGGAGAAAGUGGGGGAUCUUCGGACCGCACGCUAUCAGAUGAGCCUAGGUCGGAUUAGCUAGUUGGUGGGGUAAAGGCCUACCAAGGCGACGAUCCGUAACUGGUCUGAGAGGAUGAUCAGUCACACUGUAACUGAGACACGGUCCAGACUCCUACGGGAGGCAGCAGUGGGGAAUAUUGGACAAUGGGCGAAAGCCUGAUCCAGCCAUGCCGCGUGUGUGAAGAAGGUCUUCGGAUUGUAAAGCACUUUAAGUUGGGAGGAAGGGCAGUAAGUUAAUACCUUGCUGUUUUGACGUUACCAACAGAAUAAGCACCGGCUAACUUCGUG